rnacentral:rRNA from 1 species
UACGUAGGGUGCGAGCGUUAAUCGGAAUUACUGGGCGUAAAGCGUGCGCAGGCGGUUUUGCAAGCCAGAUGUGAAAUCCCCGGGCUUAACCUGGGAAUGGCAUUUGGGACUGCAAGGCUGGAGUGCGGCAGAGGAGACUGGAAUUCCUGGUGUAGCAGUGAAAUGCGUAGAGAUCGUAAGGAAGACCAGUGGCGAAGGCGGGUCUCUGGACAGUUCCUGACACUGAGGCACGAAGGCCAGGGGAGCAAACGGG